GACGAACGCUGGCGGCGUGCUUAACACAUGCAAGUCGAGCGGAAAGGCCAUGCUUUUGUUGGUUGCUCGUUUGCCGAGGGCGUGUGUAAAACGUGAGUAACCUGCCCUUGUCUUUGGGAUAACUUCUGGAAAAUGGGGCUAUUACCGGAUAUGAGCUCUUGCUCCGUGUUGGUGGUUGGAAAGUUCCGGCGGUUGGGGAUGGUCUAGCGGGUUCUCCGCUUGUUUGGGGGGUAGUGGAUUACAAAGUCUUUGACGGGUAGCCGGCCUGAGAGGGUGACCGGCCACAAUGGGACUAAGAGACGGACCAGAAUCCUACGGGAGGCAGCAGUCGGGAAUAUGGCAGAAUGGGCGGAAGCCAGAUGCAGAAACGCCGCGUGCGGGAUGACGGCCUUCGGGGUGUAAACCGCUGUCGACGGUGACGAAGCGUGAGUGACGGUAAUGAGUAAAGAAGCACCGGCUAACUACGUG
rnacentral:rRNA from 1 species